rnacentral:RNase_P_RNA from 1 species
CAGCCGGACCGGACGGUCGCUCGUCGCAAGACGGGAGGAAAGUCCGAACUCCGCAGAGCAGUGUGCCGGAUAACGUCCGGGAGGGUGGCCCAUNNNNNNNNNNUUCGACGGAAAGUGCCACAGAAAACAUACCGCCCGGGCCGCAAGGCUCAGGUAAGGGUGAAAAGGUGCGGUAAGAGCGCACCGCCGGCGCAGCAAUGCGGCGGGCAGGGCAAACCCCACACGGAGCAAGACCAAAUAGGGAGGGAAUUCCCAGUGAAGCUUCGGCUUUGCCGGGAACGCGUGCCGGCUCGGCGCGCCACAACCUCCGGGUAGGUCGCUUGAGCCUCGCAGUAAUGCGCGGCCCAGAGGAAUGACCGUCCCGCCGUAAGGCGGACAGAAUUCGGCUUACAGGUCCGGCUGCCAC